GCCUGAUCCAGCAAUGCCGCGUGCGGGAAGAAGGCCUUCGGGUUGUAAACCGCUUUUGGCAGGAACGAAACGGUGUCCGCUAAUACCGGGCGCUAAUGACGGUACCUGCAGAAUAAGCACCGGCUAACUACGUGCCAGCAGCCGCGGUAAUACGUAGGGUGCGAGCGUUAAUCGGAAUUACUGGGCGUAAAGCGUGCGCAGGCGGUUGUGUAAGACAGGCGUGAAAUCCCCGGGCUCAACCUGGGAAUGGCGCUUGUGACUGCACGGCUGGAGUGCGGCAGAGGGGGAUGGAAUUCCGCGUGUAGCAGUGAAAUGCGUAGAUAUGCGGAGGAACACCGAUGGCGAAGGCAAUCCCCUGGGCCUGCACUGACGCUCAUGCACGAAAGCGUGGGGAGCAAACAGGAUUAGAUACCCUGGUAGUCC
rnacentral:rRNA from 1 species